rfam:Ictidomys tridecemlineatus contig006720, whole genome shotgun sequence.
GGGACUGUAGCUCAGUGAUAGAGUGCUUGCCUAGCAUGUAUGAGGCAUUAGGUUCUGAUCCUCAGUGCCA